UACGUAGGGUGCAAGUGUUAAUCGGAAUUACUGGGCGUAAAGCGUGCGCAGGCGGUGAUGUAAGACCGAUGUGAAAUCCCCGGGCUUAACCUGGGAACUGCAUUGGUGACUGCAUCGCUCGAGUAUGGCAGAGGGGGGUAGAAUUCCACGUGUAGCAGUGAAAUGCGUAGAGAUGUGGAGGAAUACCGAUGGCGAAGGCAGCCCCCUGGGUCAAUACUGACGCUCAUGCACGAAAGCGUGGGGGAGCAAACAGG
rnacentral:rRNA from 1 species